AGCUCUUUAGAAAGAUAAGCUGAUAACAAAAAGAAAAGUUACACAAACCGAGCUGAGUCAAGUUAUGAAGGAAGCUUUUGAUCCAAUAGUUGUCCAUGCUGAAGACCGAUUUCCAGAGAGUGAUCCCUGAUUACCAUCAAGCUGGCUGAUGUGGAGUUCUUUAAAAAAUACGUGUGUUAUUUUUCUGAAGGGGGAUAAAACACAGCAAUUGACUAUUUUCUGUUUUCAAGAAAAAAAAAGACACAGCUUGUUAUUUUCUACUGAUGCAUAGAUCUCAUAAGUGGUAUAAAAUUCACUACAUCACUGUUUUACAAAACAAUAUAGAAGAAAUUUUCAGUGAAAUGAUGAACUCCUUUAAAUUAUAAUCAUGAUAUCUUUGACGACAUCAGAACUGAAAAAAGAUUUUCUUGACACUGAAAUGUAUGGAAGACCUGCUUGAGGAACAUGAAAAGCACAGAAUAACAGGAUGCUUUAGCAGUGCUGUUGAUAGAGAAUAACCUAGUGAAGUCAUGGAGCAUUUGGCAAGGCUGAAGAACAGACAGGCACAGUCUUUUUGUGUGAUGCUGUCAGAUGCUGGGAAGAAAAACGUACCUCUCUAAAAGCUUCAUCCAGAUCACAGUCUUGUCAAGAACAAAGCUGCCCGGCAGGUGGAUGAAAUUUUGCAAGGCAUUACAGCUUGCAGUCAUGAAAACAAUUAUACUGCUUGGCUUCUGGAAAUACCCUGCCUUUAGCCUUGUUAUGCACCUGAGAUGUGUGAAACCGUCUCAAUUACAAAUAUAGUACAGAAGACCUAGGGCCUGAUCCUGCAACUGUUAUAAGCAUCCUACAACAGCCAUUGUCAGGGAUAAAGGGCGAAGAGUGGAGGUGCAAGAUUCUGCUGGACCAGGCCUUAAGUGUAAGUGCAUUAUACAACACAUUAUAAGGUGACAUCUCAAAAUAAAAUACCGUCCUUUUACGUAAUGCA
rnacentral:lncRNA from 1 species